ACUUUCAACAAUGGAUCUCUAGGUGCUGGCAUCGAUGAAGAACGCAGCGAAAUGCGAUAAGUAGUGUGAAUUGCAGAAUUCAGUGAAUCAUCGAAUCUUUGAACGCACAUUGCGCCCCUCGGUAUUCCGUGGGGCAUGCCUGUUCGAGCGUCAUUU
rnacentral:rRNA from 1 species